rnacentral:piRNA from 1 species
GAGAAAUUCAUUCAGAAGUCUCUAUUGAUGU